rnacentral:lncRNA from 1 species
AGAACUCAAAAAAAGAGGAGUGUCAUAUAACCUCAUGGCUGUGCCCAGCUUAUAUGUCACAAUCACCCCAGUGGGCAGGGCCCAGGCAUGAGAUCAGAGUCACAACAUGUAGGUGCUGGGCCAAGUGAUAUGUCACAAUGCCCACUGUAGACAGGUUCCAGGAAGAAAAGGAGCAUCACAUCAUCUAGGUGAUAAACCCUGAGAUAUCUCACAAUGACCCCUUUGUGCAGAGAUCACAAAGAAGAAUCAUAUAACCUGUGUGCUGGAUCCAGUGGUAUGAAAGUCAACACCUGUAUUUUGGGUCUAAGUACAUGAGACACAAUGGUGGACAAUCUAUACUGAGAGCCUCAAUUCUUCCUGUAGACAGUGUCUCCUCAGUGGAGUAAAAGCCUCACGGUGUGUUGAAUCUUGGUCUGAGAGUCGCCAACCCACUGGUGGACCGGAUCCACUUACAAGAGUCAAUGUUCAAACUUUCAACUGUCUCCAGCUGUGAGAUUCAGAACCUCAACAGGGAUGCAGGUUAUGAAGAUGAGAGCGUGAGACAGCGAGCUGUAAGGGAAGCAGGUUACCCAGGGAUGGACAGAGGAUGGGCCCUGGCCCUCAUGUUAUGAAGCUUCUCCACGUGGUGCCUUCCUCUGUCAAAUGGGCAGAAGAAUAUCCUUUUGAUAGAAUUAAAAUAUACGAAAACCAUUUAUUCUCCUGUUACAAUGAUUUUUAUUUCCACAGCAACACUUAGUACCUGCCCCCCCCUCCAGCUUGCCCUGCCCACCAACCAGGAGCGGGGCCAGCCUGGAUCUCUUCUCUGCCGCUGGCGUAGGGGCGGGGGCGGGGGACAGUGUCUUCAGCAAAAGUCUGCGGAUAGAAAGGCCCCGCUCCUGUCCGGACAGCAGGAAUGGGAGAGCCGCCUCCAACCCCAGCCCCAUGGAGCAGGGCAGAAACGCUGCCCACUGCCCUGCUCCUGCCACCAGGAAGGGCGUGUGGGGGGCCACUUUCUGUAAAGAAGAAACCGCCUGAACAACAAGUGGCUCAAGGCACCCUUGUCUAACGACCAGGGACACUGAGCGCCAGGGCCCAAGUCACCAGCAAGAGAAAACCCAGGCGGAGCCCAGGGUGUCCCCCACUGCCCACCAGCCACUGCGGUCAACGUGAAGGGCAAGGGUGCAAGCGGGAUCGCGUCACAGGGAGCCGAGUGAGCCCAGAAAGUAGGAGAAGGACGUUUCCACCCACCUGGAGCGCAGUCCGUUUGCAGCCGGCGGCAGAUGGAGUCUCGCUCUGUUGCCCAUGCUGGAGUGCAGUGUCGCGAUCUCAGCCCACUGCAACCUCUUCCUCCCGGGUUCAAGAAAUUCUCCUGCCUCAGUCUCCUGAGUAGCUGGGAUUACAGGCACUCACCAACAGGCCUGGCUAAUUGAAUGCUGCUGUCUCCAUCAAUAAAGUCCAUGUUAGCCACCUAGAGGAUAAAAUACCACGAGGAGGAGUAGCAAGGUGCCCCUGUUGACAGAUCUUGAAGCACAAGCUCACUCCCAGAAGCACAGCUGCCUAGUCAACAAACAGCUGACAAUACAUGUCUGAAGGAGCUCAGCUGGGAACAGAAGAAUGGCCCCACUGAGCCUAGCCUAAAUGGCGGACCAUCUCAAUUAUGAGCUAAUAAGUUUUGGAUGAUUUGUUAUGCUGCCAUACCUAACUAAUACAUGCACCCAGUGCAGAUUGGGUGUCAAGAUUUAAAGACAGUUUGAUUAUUAGUCACCUUCUAACAAUGGGCACCCUAAAGGUACUGACAUUUUUCCCGAUUUAAAGUUAAAUGUCUUGUAAGGCAAUGUUGACUGAUGCAGGAAUACUUGUAGACAUGUAUGCAUGUGAUUGGUGCUUAUAUGCACACAGUCCCCCACACCACAGGAAAAAACCGAUGACCAGAGCCUGACCAUUAUGGCCAAGGCCAAAUAGCCAAAGUUUGCCUUUAAUCUAUUUUCUUCAUAUCUAAAAAUUGGAGGUCAAUACUGUGGACAGGUCUGAAGACAUAGAGUUUUGUUCUCCUGUGGCCCCAUCAUUCUUCAGUGGUCUACCUGUGGUUAUUUUAUUCUUGUUACCUUCUGCUCUUUCUAUGACCACUAUCUGUUCCACCCUUGAAACUGAAGACAGAUGUUAGUAGAAAGAGGCUGUUCCCUCAUGUCGGGCAUGUGGGAUACGAUGAGGUUUCUCUUCAAAUAGCCUGAUCAAUCUUUUAUUCUUUAAUUCAUAGUACCCACACACACACCCCUUUUUUUCCUUUUUCUCCUUUUUCCUUUCUGCCUUUGUUAGAUGCCCAGGCACGCCACAGUACCAGGCAUUAUCAGUACCAGCUCACAUUUCUUCCCUUAUUUGGAAAGAGGACUAACUUUCUAGCUCAAUGCAGACACCCCUUCCCCUUCCUCUCUGCAUUCUUUUGCAUGCCCACCUUAUCUAAAAAAAUCAAAUGUUUAGCCAACCAGGAUUAGUUCAGAUUGUACGACCCGACCCUGGCCAAUGGGGAAAGGGUACAGGGGCAGGACUUGUGUCAGGAAUAAAGGCUCUUGUGCCCCUUUGUUCAGGUGUGCUCUCAUGGUGACUGGACAAGAACGCACCCCUCUGUGCAGAACUAAAAUUGCUUUGCUAGGAAUCCUUUGUUCGAGUGUUCAAUUUCCUUAUGAUUUUGAGCGUUAUUCCUAACAGGAAGAAAAGGGAUAUUCAGGCCUUUCACAGACCUGACAACAGAGCUGCACUUCAAUGUGACAGGUAUUGACCAUGUGUGACUCCUGGGAGCCUGGAAUGUGGCUGGUCUGAGCUGCAAUUUGCAAGAAAGGUAAAAUGCAGAGUUAGUUUCAAAGAUUUAGUUCCAUAAAUAUAAAAAUAUACAACAUAUAGAUAAAAAUAUCUAUAUAUAAUAUGGAUAAAAAUACAUAGCAUAAUGCAAUAUAUAGAUACAUAAUUAUGUUAUAUAUAAAUAUAUAUCUCAUUCAUAAUUAUACAUUGCUCACAUAUUAAAAUAAUAUUUUGGAUAUAUUGCUUUAAUUAAAUUGUUACAACAGA